CAGCCGCCGCGGUAAUACGGAGGGUGCAAGCGUUAAUCGGAAUUACUGGGCGUAAAGCGUGCGUAGGUGGUGGUUUAAGUCCGUUGUGAAAGCCCUGGGCUCAACCUGGGAAUUGCAGUGGAUACUGGGUCACUAGAGUGUGGUAGAGGAUAGUGGAAUUUCCGGUGUAGCAGUGAAAUGCGUAGAGAUCGGAAGGAACAUCUGUGGCGAAGGCGACUAUCUGGGCCAACACUGACACUGAGGCACGAAAGCGUGGGGAGCAAACAGGAUUAGAUACCCGCGUAGUCCCUGUCUCUUAUAC
rnacentral:rRNA from 1 species